UUUCGCAAUGCCCGAAAGGGUGACGAUGCGACGCCGCGUGAGCGAAGAAGGCCCUAGGGUUGUAAAGCUCUGUCAGGGGUUAAGAAAUGUAGAUAGGUUAAUACCCUGUUUAUUUGACAAAAGCCCCAAAGGAAGCCACGGCUAACUCUGUGCCAGCAGCCGCGGUAAUACAGAGGUGGCAAGCGUUGUUCGGUAUUAUUGGGCGUAAAGAGCACGUAGGUGGUUUUGUAAGUCAGAUGUGAAAGCCUUCUGUUCAAAGGAAGAACGGCAUCUGAAACUGCUGAUCUUGAGUGUAGGAGGGGAGAGUGGAACUUCUGGUGGAGCGGUGAAAUGCGUAGAUAUCAGAAGGAACGUCGGCGGCGAAAGCGACUCUCUGGCCUAUUACUGACACUGAGUGUGCGAAAGUUAGGGGAGCAAACGGGAUUAGAUACCCCGGUAGUCCUAACCGUAAACGAUGGGCACUAAGUAGAGGGGUUUUA
rnacentral:rRNA from 1 species